rnacentral:lncRNA from 1 species
CUCGUCACAUUUCCAACAUCUUGCCCAUUAUGCAUUCCUGACUGAGCCUACACGCAGCCAUUCCAUUCACACUCCACUAAAUAAAUAGUAACUCCAAAACUUAUCAUCCCCUUCCAUCAAAUUUCCCGCUUUGAUGUCUCAACAUGAGCAACAUGUUUUGGCCGCCCAAAAUAACGGAUUUUCAAUACCCAAAUGAAAAUAAGAUUUUAAGCAAUCAAAACUAAUCAUAAUUGAGAUACAAAAAGAUAUUAACAAUGUAUAAUUAAGAACAUCAAGAAAUUAACAACAAAAUUCCAACAUGCUUCUCUGUCAUAGACUUAUCGAGGAAAAAAUCAUAAUUCCCCUACGCUAAAUGAAAAAGAUCAUCAAUUUACCGAGAAAACCAAUUGAAAAGAAAAACAACUUUUACCUCCCCAAAAUAAACGAUUCACAAUUUUUGAGACAAUCUCGCAUAAUUCAGGUAAAGAAUCAGAGCAAAUUAGCAGGAAACUUAACAGCGCAUACAGUAAAUUAACCGUCCAUAAAAUUUGAAAAAAAUAAAAUAAAAAUGCUAACUUUUGCUGAGGUUGGUUGAAUUCCCAAGCUAAUCUAGGCCUCUUCCUGGGACGGCGAUCCAUGUGAGUAUGAGGAAACUCCGUAAAAUAAUCCAUCUCCAUCUCAAUCGAGACCCUAACCCUAAUUGUUUUUCCGAUUUUAUCG